GAUGAACGCUGGCGGCGUGCUUAACACAUGCAAGUCGAACGAUGAAGCCCAGCUUGCUGGGUGGAUUAGUGGCGAACGGGUGAGUAACACGUGAGUAACCUGCCCUUAACUCUGGGAUAAGCCUGGGAAACUGGGUCUAAUACCGGAUAGGAGCGCCUACCGCAUGGUGGGUGUUGGAAAGAUUUAUCGGUUUUGGAUGGACUCGCGGCCUAUCAGCUUGUUGGUGAGGUAAUGGCUCACCAAGGCGACGACGGGUAGCCGGCCUGAGAGGGUGACCGGCCACACUGGGACUGAGACACGGCCCAGACUCCUACGGGAGGCAGCAGUGGGGAAUAUUGCACAAUGGGCGAAAGCCUGAUGCAGCGACGCCGCGUGAGGGAUGACGGCCUUCGGGUUGUAAACAUCUUUCAGUAGGGAAGAAGCGAAAGUGACGGUACCUGCAGAAGAAGCACCGGCUAACUACGU
rnacentral:rRNA from 1 species